AUUGAACGCUGGCGGCAGGCCUAACACAUGCAAGUCGAACGAGUGGCGGACGGGUGAGUAAUGUCUGGGAAACUGCCUGAAGGAGGGGGCUAACUACUGGAAACGGUAGCUAAUACCGCAUACCAUCAGAUGUGCCCAGAUGGGAUUAGCGAGUUGGUGGGGUAAAGGCUCACCAAGGCGACGAUCCCUAGCUGGUCUGAGAGGUUGACAGGCAACACUGGAACUGAGACACGGUCCAGACUCCUACGGGAGGAGGCAUAGGGGAAUAUUGCACAAUGGGCGCAAGCCUGAUGCAGCCAUGCCGCGUGUAUGAAGAAGGCCGUCGGGUUGUAAAGUACUUUCAGCGGGGAGGCGUUACCCGCAGAAGAAGCACCGGCUAACUCCGUGCCAGCAGCCGCGGUAAUAC
rnacentral:rRNA from 1 species